UACGUAGGGUGCAAGCGUUGUCCGGAAUUAUUGGGCGUAAAGAGCUCGUAGGCGGUCUGUCGCGUCUGCUGUGAAAACUCAGGGCUUAACCCUGAGCUUGCAGUGGGUACGGGCAGACUAGAGUGCGGUAGGGGAGACUGGAAUUCCUGGUGUAGCGGUGAAAUGCGCAGAUAUCAGGAGGAACACCCAUGGCGAAGGCAGCAAACUGGUCAUCAACUGACGCUGAGGCGCGAAAGCGUGGGUAGCAAACAGG
rnacentral:rRNA from 1 species